ACUGCUCAGUAACACGUGGACAACCUGCCCUUAGGUUGGGUAUAAACCCGGGAAACUGGGUAUAAUACCCGAUAGGUCUCGAUUGCUGGAAUGCAUCGAGAUUUAAAGCUCCGGCGCCUAAGGAUGGGUCUGCGGCCUAUCAGGUAGUAGUGGGUGUAGCGUACCUACUAGCCUACGACGGGUACGGGUUGUGAGAGCAAGAGCCCGGAGAUGGAUUCUGAGACACGAAUCCAGGCCCUACGGGGUGCAGCAGGCGCGAAAACUUUACAAUGCUGGCAACAGCGAUAAGGGAACCUCGAGUGCCAGGUUACAAAUCUGGCUGUCGAGAUGCCUAAAAAGCAUUUCAUAGCAAGGGCCGGGCAAGACCGGUGCCAGCCGCCGCGGUAACACCGGCGGCUCGAGUGGUAACCGUUAUUAUUGGGUCUAAAGGGUCUGUAGCCGGCCGGAUAAGUCUCUUGAGAAAUCCGGCAGCUUAACUGUCAGGCUUUCAGGAGAUACUGUCUGGCUCGAGGCCGGGAGAGGUGAGAGGUACUUCAGGGGUAGGGGUGAAAUCUUGUAAUCCUCGAAGGACCACCAGUGGCGAAGGCGUCUCACCAGAACGGACCUGACGGCAAGGGACGAAAGCUAGGGGCACGAACCGGAUUAGAUACCCGGGUAGUCCUAGCCGUAAACGAUACUCGCUAGGUGUCGGCCACGGUGCGACCGUUGUCGGUGCCGUAGGGAAGCCGUGAAGCGAGCCACCUGGGAAGUACGGCCGCAAGGCUGAAACUUAAAGGAAUUGGCGGGGGAGCAC
rnacentral:rRNA from 1 species